GCUUAUUGCAAACUACUUAUAUCUAGAUUUUAGACUAGUUUUCACAGGGAGUUGGGGCAACUAUCGGAGCGACCGUGAAUUUCACCGGGUGGACACCUGUAGCUGGGGCAACUAUCGGAGCAACCGUGAAUUUCACCGGGUGGACACCUGCAGGUCCAGGUGCAACGAAUCCGGAGCUUUUGAACUCAGCCAGUCCCC